rnacentral:rRNA from 1 species
AGAGUUUGAUCCUGGCUCAGGAUGAACGCUGGCGGCGUGCCUAACACAUGCAAGUUGAGCGAUUUACUUCGGUAAAGAGCGGCGGACGGGUGAGUAACGCGUGGGUAACCUACCCUGUACACACGGAUAACAUACCGAAAGGUAUGCUAAUACGGGAUAAUAUAUUUGAGAGGCAUCUCUUGAAUAUCAAAGGUGAGCCAGUACAGGAUGGACCCGCGUCUGAUUAGCUAGUUGGUAAGGUAACGGCUUACCAAGGCGACGAUCAGUAGCCGACCUGAGAGGGUGAUCGGCCACAUUGGAACUGAGACACGGUCCAAACUCCUACGGGAGGCAGCAGUGGGGAAUAUUGCACAAUGGGCGAAAGCCUGAUGCAGCAACGCCGCGUGAGUGAUGAAGGCCUUCGGGUCGUAAAACUCUGUCCUCAAGGAAGAUAAUGACGGUACUUGAGGAGGAAGCCCCGGCUAACUACGUGCCAGCAGCCGCGGUAAUACGUAGGGGGCUAGCGUUAUCCGGAUUUACUGGGCGUAAAGGGUGCGUAGGCGGUCUUUCAAGUCAGGAGUGAAAGGCUACGGCUCAACCGUAGUAAGCUCUUGAAACUGGGAGACUUGAGUGCAGGAGAGGAGAGUGGAAUUCCUAGUGUAGCGGUGAAAUGCGUAGAUAUUAGGAGGAACACCAGUUGCGAAGGCGGCUCUCUGGACUGUAACUGACGCUGAGGCACGAAAGCGUGGGGAGCAAACAGGAUUAGAUACCCUGGUAGUCCACGCUGUAAACGAUGAGUACUAGGUGUCGGGGGUUACCCCCUUCGGUGCCGCAGCUAACGCAUUAAGUACUCCGCCUGGGAAGUACGCUCGCAAGAGUGAAACUCAAAGGAAUUGACGGGGACCCGCACAAGUAGCGGAGCAUGUGGUUUAAUUCGAAGCAACGCGAAGAACCUUACCUAAGCUUGACAUCCCAAUGACAUCUCCUUAAUCGGAGAGUUCCCUUCGGGGACAUUGGUGACAGGUGGUGCAUGGUUGUCGUCAGCUCGUGUCGUGAGAUGUUGGGUUAAGUCCCGCAACGAGCGCAACCCUUGUCUUUAGUUGCCAUCAUUAAGUUGGGCACUCUAGAGAGACUGCCAGGGAUAACCUGGAGGAAGGUGGGGAUGACGUCAAAUCAUCAUGCCCCUUAUGCUUAGGGCUACACACGUGCUACAAUGGGUAGUACAGAGGGUUGCCAAGCCGUAAGGUGGAGCUAAUCCCUUAAAGCUACUCUCAGUUCGGAUUGUAGGCUGAAACUCGCCUACAUGAAGCUGGAGUUACUAGUAAUCGCAGAUCAGAAUGCUGCGGUGAAUGCGUUCCCGGGUCUUGUACACACCGCCCGUCACACCACGGGAGUUGGAGACGCCCGAAGCCGAUUAUCUAACCUUUUGGAAGAAGUCGUCGAAGGUGGAAUCAAUAACUGGGGUGAAGUCGUAACAAGGUAGCCGUAUCGGAAGGUGCGGCUGGAUCACCUCCUUUCUAAGGAGAAUUNAAUCUUAUUUCUAACUUCUAUUAAAUAUUGCAUAGAUAGCUGUGCUUCUUGACCUAUUAACAUAACUUCAUGCAUAGAAACAUCUUCGCCUUUUAUAAAUUUUUCUUUCAUAUCAUCUGCUGUCACUUGUUGAAAAUUAACUUUAUCUAUAGUAUCUAUUAUUACAUCUUCAAAGUUCUUUUUUUCUUCUUUAUUAUUAAGAGUUAAUGGUUUUGUUUCUCCAAUCAAAUUAUCUAACUUUGCACCUUGCAUUAAAUUGUUAAUUUGUGUAAUUGGCAUAAUUUAUCCCUACUUUCCUAUUUCCAAAGCUUUUGAUAUCAUAGACUUCUGAGCAUUCAAUGUAUCUACGUUAGAAUCAUAUGCUCGUGAAGCUGUUAUUAAAUCUGUCAUUUCUACCAAUAUAUUUACAUUUGGAUAUUCUACAUAUCCAUUUGGCUUUGCAUCUGGAUGAGAUGGGUCAUAUACUUCUUUAAGAGGUGAUUUAUCAUCUUCAACAGAUGUAACUUUUACUCCUAGCAUACCUAAUUUAUUAUCAUAGUUUUCUUCAAAUGAAACAACUUUUCUCCUAUAUGCUUCUCCAUUUGGACCUCUUGUGGCAUUUAUAUUAGCUACAUUGGACGAUAUGAUAUCCAUUUUCAAGCUUUCUGCUGUUAAUCCACUAGCAGAUAUUCUCAUUCCACUGAACACACUCACCUUUUAAUUACCUCCCACUUAUUAUUGAUUUAGUCAUUGCUAUUUUUCCAUUUGCAAAACUUAUCAAAGCAUUAUAUUGUAAUGUUGCCAUUGCUUGAUUUACUUUUUCUUCUUCUAUAUCUACAUUAUUGCCAUCCACUCUUAAUCCUUUAGAAUUGUCUGUUUUUUCUUCUAUUUUUGGCAUAGCAUCAUUUAAUGUUUCUUCAAAAGUUACAUAAUGUCUCUUAUAUCCUUCAGUAUUUAUAUUGGCUAUAUUAUUUGCUAUUGUCUGACUUCUUAAAUUAGUUGCAUCUAAUCCCAUUUUUAUAAUGUCAUAUGUAUUCACACUCACUCCUCCUCAAAAUAUAUUUUAUUUAUUUUGCUUAUUAAUAAAAAAUGAAGUUGCUAUAUUACAAAAAAUGACUUCUUUAUUCAUCCAAAUUAAUUACAUUUCUAUUACAUUAAUAUAAUAAUGUAUCACUUUGGUAAGAAAACUAAUAUUAUUUUCGUAAAUCCUAAUAAAAAUAUAAAAAUAUUUUAAUAUAAAUUUAAAUAUUUCUUUAUAAAGUUGCCUUUUUUUGUAAAAUAGUAACUUUUAUAGAUAAUUUAUCUUUAUUUUAAAUUAUAUUUGGUAUAAUAUGUUAUUAUAGGUGUUUUUUACUACAUAAUGUGAUUUUUUCCAUAACAAAAUGACCACCAAAAAGGCAGUCAUCCUAGACUCUUCCUACGUAUACAAUAUACCUAGAACUCUUUUUGGCAACUGGCUGACAUAGUUUGUGUAUACAAACCUUAGCCCCUAUAGCUUUGCGUCACUAGAUUUCUCUAGAUUUGCCUAUUUAGUUUUAACUUAAGUAUACAAUAAAUAACAAAUUUUUUAAAUAUCUUUUUUGUGUAUAAUUAAAUAUUUUAUUUUUUAAAUUUAGUUACCAAUAAUUACAAAGAUUAUAAACACUAUAGUCUACAAUUUUAUAAUAAACUCUUUGAAAAUAUUUUUAAUUUAUAAAAAUAUUAGACAAAUCUCAUCUUUAUUCU